rnacentral:rRNA from 1 species
GACGAACGCUGGCGGCGUGCUUAACACAUGCAAGUCGAGCGGUAAGGCCCUUUCGGGGUACGACGAGCGGCGAACGGGUGAGUAACACGUGGGUGACCUGCCCUUACGCUCUGGGAUAAGCCUGGGAAACUGGGUCGUAAUACCGGAUAUGACUCCAUGACGCAUGUUGUGGGGUGGAAAGCCUUGUGCGGCUAGGGAUGGGCCUGCGGCCUAUCAGCUUGUUGGUGGGGUGAGGCCUACCAAGGCGACGACGGGUAGCCGGCCUGAGAGGGCGACCGGCCACACUGGGGACUGAGACACGGCCCAGACUCCUACGGGAGGCAGCAGUGGGGAAUCUUGCGCAAUGGGCGAAAGCCUGACGCAGCGACGCCGCGUGGGGAU